UUUUUCACAUAAGUUUAUUUAGUAUGAUAAAAUUCGAUUAGAAAUUUUAAUAUUUUGAAAUUAUUUUUUUCCCUCCUCCAUUCAAUUUUUUUCCUCUCCUCUUCUAUCUCCCCUCCUCUCCUGAUAUUUUAACUUCCACCGUCCUUAUCCUAUCCUAUCCUCUCCUAUCAGCCUCUCACUCUUUCCUCCUCUCCUCUCUCUCUCACCGACGGGAGCUGUGCGGCGUGGCGGGCUCGGCGGCGACCCGCUCGGCACCGGCGGCGGCCUUCGUUCCCCGACCUCCCAUGCGCGGCGGUGGCCUCCCUUCCCCGACGGCGGCGGGCGGCGGGCUCGGCGACGGCCUGUGGCGGCGGAUCCGGCGGCGCCGUCCUUGGGAGGGCCGGAUCCGCCGCCCUACCGAGGAGCUCGGCACGCGGCGGGCACGGAGACGGCCGGCGGCGGCGACCCUCCCCCCUCCUCAAUGCCGCAGCCACAUCCCCGAUCCACGCCGCAGCAGCCGCAUCACCGGCCUGCCCUCCAUCGAUGGCUGGAGGAGGCGAGGUCGGGCCUUCUCUUCGGGGGCAGCAGGGAGGUCCGGAGGUAGUGCGUCCGCGUCGCAGUCCCCUGCCGCAUCGGUGACUCAGCGGCGGCGUCGCGGCGAGCCGCUGGGCAGGAAGGUGCUCAAGUGGCUUCCCGUGGAGCGCCGUGUCACGACCCAAAUCCGUUGGCGAAGCUCACCGGAGUUGAGGGACCGAUCGAUUGCUUGGAAGAUGGGAAGAACAGAAGGGAAGCGGAGGAGGAAGGAAGACAAGACAGAGUUGCUUCAGAGUCUGUCAGAGAGGCGGUCGUGACACGCCGAUGGGUCGAGCACUCAUCCGCCAUCAUCGAGCCACAACAGUAAGCUUUAAUCUCUAUCUGUCUCUGUUGAAUGAUGGUUGAUCCUACGAUUCAUCCGGUAGCACUGUUCCCUCGAUCUGCAAGUUCUGGAUGCAUUUACUUGCGUAUGAUGAUACUUAGAUCAAAGUACAGUUGCAACUCCUCUCAGCAAUGGUAAUUCUUGGCAUGUGUACUUAAGUCUUAUUCCCCUGUCCUACAGAAAGUAAAUCAAUUUAUGUAGCAGAGCUUUCUUGCCACGCUACAUAGGUAGAGACUAAAUAUUCUGAACUUGUUUCAUUGCAUAUUCAUUUGGAGCUGUAAGUUUCUGAUGAAAAGAGAAGGAUGCAAGCUUGCAGUUGCUCUGUUGCAGAUAUGAAUUGCAAGCUACAGAAGGUUGUGUGCCACUGCGUUCAAAGAUCCCAUAGACUAGAAAGAUAAGUGUCAUUUUCCCACCUUCUUACUACCUUUUCCUAUUCUUGAACACAAACAUUUGCUACCUCAAAAUGAUUUUUAUUCAUGUGAUCCCUAAGAAUAUUGGCAUGCAGUCUGCAUACAUUAGAUGCUUACACCAAUACUUUAAUUAGUAGUUAUUAAGAACCACCUGUAAACAAAUUACAUUCAUGUAGGUGAUGACUGAUGAAUGAGAGUGAGUGCAUCAUGCACUGUGCAUGUUCAUGCUCAAUUUCUGGGCAAAGAGAUCAACUUGCAUCUGGCAAUCAAACUAGAUAUCUAUUCCAUUAUCUAAACAUCUUGCCAUGAGCUAAUCUGCUAAAACAGAGAAGUAAUCUGCUACUUCUACUGUAUCUUCUUUCACACUGUAAUUCAUUUAGUUCAGUUCAGUGCGCUUUACAGAAGCAAGCAAUUUAGCAUUCAGCAUUUCUGCUUCAAUUAGCUGGUGAAGAAUCUGAUCCUGAUCAGAGGCUACCCUUUAGACUUUAGCUUGCUGGUUUGAUUCCAAUCCUUGGUUGGAUGAGUGGUCCAAAUUUACCCAGUUCCACCAGUAGUUUUAACUUAGCCUGAAAUUAAUUAACUUAAGAGUUUCUUUCCUGUAGUGAUAAAGCUGCAUCCAGUACUGCAUUUCUCUGUACUUCUCUCUCUACUGUAUACUAUGUCAGCUUGUUGAGAACUAGAUUAGAUUUCUCUCCUCUGUAUACUGCAUUUCAGUACUGCAUUUCUCUGUACUUACAAUGAUGUCUGUUGGGUAGGAUCUUGUAAAGGGUAAAGAUACAUUGAUGCCAUUGGUUGAUUUUCAAGAGAAGAAAUGUACAGGAUGGAGGCAGCUGAAGAUUUUGCCAUCUGGAGUGGUGAAAUAUCUCAGAAAUACAUGCUAUGAACAUUUGGCAACCUUAGAAUCAGAUAUCUUUGCUAGUUUGAUACAACAUAUCCUUGUAGGUGAUUGUUGAUGGUGCAUGCAGUUUGUUGAAACCUUUGUUUUUUUCGGUUUGUAAGACUUCUGUAAUGGUGCAUUAUCAGAAGAACCAGUUGCUAUAUGGGUUGUAACCUUUGUGCUAUAUGGGUUGUUAUUGUGUUUGAUUGCUAGGCCUAUAUGGGCUUAGCCCACUUGUUAUUUGAUACUAAUAUGAUGGGUUGAAAAUGGUGUGGUA